rnacentral:sRNA from 1 species
UUACAAUAUCAUUUCUCAUCAUUGUUUAUUACAGUUUUUUAUUGUAUUAUAUUAUAUAUAUUAUGAAUAUGAUAGGAUGCAAUAUUUAAUUUGAUAUUAUUGUAUUGAUUAACAUAUGAACAUAUGAUUAUCAUACAAUUUUUUAACAGAUGAUAUAUGAUAUUGUGUCAAAACAGAAUCCAUGAAUAUCCAAGAUCAUAAAAUAUGAUAAAGAUGGUGUCAUAAAGGUGAUGUCUCAUAAGGGUGAUGUCUCGUCUCGGUGAGCUUUGUAAUCUGUGAUUACCUAUGUUUUUAGUUUAAUAUACGCUGUUAUAUAUAUUUUAAGCAAACUAAGUUUGUUUUCUCUGCACACAACUGCUAAUUUUAGAUUUUGUCAUAGCCAAUGAUAUAAUAAAAUUGAAAUCUUUCAGAUACCUUGA